AGAGUUUGAUCCUGGCUCAGGACGAACGCUGGCGGCGCGCCUAACACAUGCAAGUCGAACGAGCGAGAGAGAGCUUGCUUUCUCGAGCGAGUGGCGAACGGGUGAGUAACGCGUGAGGAACCUGCCUCAAAGAGGGGGACAACAGUUGGAAACGACUGCUAAUACCGCAUAAGCCCACGGCUCGGCAUCGAGCAGAGGGAAAAGGAGCAAUCCGCUUUGAGAUGGCCUCGCGUCCGAUUAGCUAGUUGGUGAGGUAACGGCCCACCAAGGCGACGAUCGGUAGCCGGACUGAGAGGUUGAACGGCCACAUUGGGACUGAGACACGGCCCAGACUCCUACGGGAGGCAGCAGUGGGGAAUAUUGCACAAUGGGGGAAACCCUGAUGCAGCGACGCCGCGUGGAGGAAGAAGGUCUUCGGAUUGUAAACUCCUGUUGUUGAGGAAGAUAAUGACGGUACUCAACAAGGAAGUGACGGCUAACUACGUGCCAGCAGCCGCGGUAAAACGUAGGUCACAAGCGUUGUCCGGAAUUACUGGGUGUAAAGGGAGCGCAGGCGGGAAGACAAGUUGGAAGUGAAAUCCAUGGGCUCAACCCAUGAACUGCUUUCAAAACUGUUUUUCUUGAGUAGUGCAGAGGUAGGCGGAAUUCCCGGUGUAGCGGUGGAAUGCGUAGAUAUCGGGAGGAACACCAGUGGCGAAGGCGGCCUACUGGGCACCAACUGACGCUGAGGCUCGAAAGUGUGGGUAGCAAACAGGAUUAGAUACCCUGGUAGUCCACACUGUAAACGAUGAUUACUAGGUGUUGGAGGAUUGACCCCUUCAGUGCCGCAGUUAACACAAUAAGUAAUCCACCUGGGGAGUACGACCGCAAGGUUGAAACUCAA
rnacentral:rRNA from 1 species